GUUCCACGUUUGCCUUUGCGAUUCGAGAAUCCUCUCUCGGGGGCGGCCUUGGGUAGUCGCCCUCAGCCGGGAGCCUCGGUGCCUGGGGCGGAGACGGGAUGCCGGGUGUUCUCCGGGCGCCGCGCGCUGCCCCCGCGGGCUCUGUCCGAGGUGCUGAACGCCGCGGGCUCGGGGCGCGCAGGCAGUGAGCGCGGGUGUCCAUUGUCGCCAGUACAUGUGAGCAUCUUCGUGGAGAUGACCGAGUGUGGGGGUCAGGUGAAGCCAGGGCGGUGUCUUUUGAAUGCUAAUACUGCUGCUGCUGCUAAGUCGCUUCAUUUGUGUCCGACUCUGUGCGACCCCAUAGAUGGCAACCCACCAGGCUCCCCCAUCCCUGGGAUUCUCCAGGCAAGAACACUGGAGUGGGUUGCCAUUUCCUUCUCCAAUGAAUGAAAGUGAAAAGUGAAAUUGAAGUCACUCAGUCAUGUCCAACUCUUAGCAACCCCAUGGACUGCAACCUACCAGGCUCCUCCAUCCAUGGGAUUUGCCAGGCAAGAGUACUGGAGUGGGGUGCCAUUGCUUUCUCCAUAUACUGCCUAAUCUGAGCCUAAUGUUUAUUAUUUGCAUUUCUGCUUUAGGGGCCAGCUGGAGCAGCAGACAGAUUUGACUAAAGACUGUGGAAGGAAGGGCAUUUGGGGUCAGACUUGUCCUGGAACAUGCUUCCCACCUGUCUUUUGGGAUUCACCUGGUAAAUUCUCCUUUGGGUUUUUGGAGUUUUUAACCUUUGUUUUAAUUCAAGUUUUAAAAUUUGUUUGCAUACAGUUAUACAGAAAACUCCGUAAUCUUUCUUUUAAUUUGGCUUUUAUGCUUCCAUUUUUAUAUAUAAUUCUUGGAUCCAUAUGGAACUUACUCAUAUGUGAAGGUAAUACACUGAUUGUUUUUCCUUCAAAUAGCUAACCUGUUUUCCCAGCAGUUUACUGAAUGCUUCAUCCUUGCUGAUAAAUUUAAUGAUGCCAUUAAAUUUUUUUAAAUUUCCAUUUUAUAUAUUUAUGAAUAUUUAUUAUUUUAUUUUUUGCUGUGCUGGAUCUUCAUUGCUAUGUGGGCUUUUUUUAGUUGUGGCAAGUGGGGGCUACUCUCUAGUUGCGGUGUAAGGGGUUCUUAUUGCAAUGGCUUCUCCUGUGGCUCCCAGGCUCUAGCCUCAGUAGUUGUGUUUAGGCGUGGCUGUCCCUCUGCAUGUGGGAUCCCCCCAGACCUGGGAUCGAACCAUCCUCUGCAUUGGCAGGUGGAUUCUUAACCAGUGGACCACCAGGGAAAUCCUAAUGAUGCCAUUUUAAUCAAAUACUCAAUUCCCAUAGUUGCUCGAAUUUAUUUUUUUACUUUCUGGUCUCUUACUUUGAUCUCUUGGUCUAAUCCUACUCUAAAAUAUCUGUGGCCUUAAACAAUGUUUUGAUAU
rnacentral:lncRNA from 1 species